ensembl:lincRNA
AUGCUGAGCUGUAAUCCAGUGCAGACACCAGUGGCCCGAGUAGGGGGAUGUGUGACGGAAGGAAGUGUGACUUUCAGAACAUGCUUAGAAGGCAGAAUCAGUGGGACACGAAAGACUUUCUGUCGACUGGACUGGACUUGGAGGAUCCUGAGGGCCGCCAGAUUUGCUGGGGAUGCUGAAGUGCGCAGGACGCUGGAGGGACGGCCAGCAUGCAGCGCCAGAGGUCAAAUGAAGCCAUCUCAAACUUCAAAAUCUAAGUCUCCACUUCAUGCCUGGCUUACUUCAGUGAGUGACAUCAAUAUCCAUCGUGGAAUUGCUCAUUUGGGUUAGCAACUGUUUAAUCUUGGAAACCACAUCGUAAGUGGGUAUAGUCUAAUUGCCAAACAAAAUGCACAAGCCUCAUCAUCUGGACUUGGCAAGUUCAGUGAUAAAGUAUGGAACGCAAUGGCAAGUGAGCCUCGCGUGGGGCGCAAGGCAGAGGAAGACCUGUGACUGUGCCCUCCCCUCCCUGGGCCUUGUCUGUCAUCUGCUACUGGAGACUCCUUUCCAGCAGCCGUGCUUCCUGACCAACCUCAAUGAUGAAAGCAAUUAAAAUACCACCACUUUUCAAUUUUUAGAGGAAUUUUCCCAGAAAUAAACAGAAACCAUCUUUUUAAUUGCAUCGUAACCUUUUAAGAAUAUAAAGACCACUAGAGGCCAACCACACUCUAAAGAGAAGCUAAGAGAGGUAAAUAGAGCAAUUAAAUAAGCCAUCACCCAGAGGACACUCGCUGAAAAGGUGAAGGCGUGAUGCAGUUUUCAAGGCCACACAGAGCGCUGGACAAAGUUCAAAGCCAAUGUCCCACUGUAGGACCAGUAGAUCUGCCCACCCACCAAAACCUGUGAUUUUAAUUACACCUUUAGCCUAAGAGUAAAUUAGAAUGCACUUACUCUCCAGUUAACUACUAGAAAAUCAACUGUCUCCAACCUUGAGUCUAAGUUGGAGGUUAAAAAACAUAUAUAUUCCCUAAGAAUUCAAAACCACAAGCAGAAUCUCAUACAGGUAUGAACAUCAAACACACACUUCUUGUGUAGGAUUAAAAAUGGUAAGUUGGGAUUCAGUGUCUCUAACCCUUGGUAAAGCAAAUGCAGUUCCUGUCUGAAGGAAUUUACUUCAAAAAUAGAGAUCUUCAGGUGCUGCCCCACACCAGACCUCCCCAACUAAGAUCUUAAACAUGGACACGCACAGAAAUUCCACAGGGAAAAUUUCAAUAAACAGGAAGUCAUAGCAGUAAAAAAUGAAAUGACGGGGAAUCAAGACACUAUGAGGAAUAAACAGAAAACAAUACAAUCCUAAAAGAAAGACGUCAAAUACUGACCUAACCAGACAUCGAAUGUCUUAUAACAUGGUUUCUGAAAAUUUAUGAACCACCUGGUGAUAUGUUUCUUUUCUUAUAAUGAAAUUUUGACUCAGAAAGUCUGAGAGUUGGGCUUCAUAUUCUGCCUGUCUAGCGAGCUCCAAAGUGUUACCACUGCUGCUCAUCUGUGGACCAUACAUUAAUAAAGUUUUGAUAUUGUGUUUAAUAUGCUACCUUAGUUUUUUAUUGUUGCUGUGAAGAAGCACCACAAUACUGAGUCUUGAAGCAAUCAAAAUUUAUUAUCUCACAGCUCCAUAGGUUAGAAGUCCAGUUUGGUGCAUCUGAGUUCUUGACUCCAGGUUUUACAAAGCACAAAAUCAGGUGGUAAAAAUAAAUACACAAAUGUAUUUGCAUGUAUAUGUGUGUAUAAUAAUAAUACAGUUGUAAUGAACUAAAAUGCUCAGUUAAAAGACAAAGACUUGAUGGGAAUAGCAUUGAAUCUAUAAAUUACUUUGGGCAGUAUGGCCAUUUUCAUGAUGAUGAUUCUUCCUCUCCAUGAGCAUGGAAUGUUUUCCAUUUGUUUGUGUCCUCUCUUAUUUCCUUGAGAAGUGGUUUGUAGUUCUCCUUCAAGAGGUCCUUCACAACCCUUGU